AAGAAAUUGAUGGUGAGGCGUUUAGGGACCAAAACAACGAUAAGACUUGUCAUUUGCUGAGUCUUAGCUUUGUGCCCAUUCCAUCCUCAGUGAGCAGCCUGCAUUACCGCCUCUAAUCGAUCCCCUGAGAGAUGCUCCUCCUGGGGCUGACGGAACACUGGUAAAAGAUACUGCAGAAGGGAUUCCCAGAGAAGGUGGGGAUGCCACUCAACAUCCUUCCCAACUCAACACAUGGUUGUCACGGGGAGGUAACGCACGUGGCGCUCAGUGCAGCACCAGGUGGUACGGCAUCAGCAGCUGUUGCCACAACGGUUGCCACAGCAGCUGCUGUCCAUUUCAGGGCAGAAGGGACUUUGAAGAAAAGCUAAGUGGUCAUAGAAGAGGUAACACGGUCAUAUUUGGAGAGGGCUUUACAGCUGAUUUUCACGAACAUCAUUUCCUGACGCGCUGAGUGAAUGCCAGUGGUAAGUAAUAGUGCAUUAUUGUUCAGUCCUUACGUGCGGCUCAUUCGACUUGUCUCGUAUAAUCCUUGUAACAACUCUACGAAGUUGAUGCAGUUCUUAUACCCAUUUUACAGAUGAGGAAACUAGGGGGUGGAGAGGUUCAAGGUCACAUAGAUACUAAGUGGAUGAGCUGGGAUUUAAAAUCUGGCCAUCUGACUCUGCCCCAAAGGCUUAAAAGGACACCAAAUCACCUUGAGAAAAGUGCCCUAGCAGGUGAGGAGAGGGAAGCCCACUCCAAAGAGGCCUGGUCUAACAAAGAGUGUGCGAAGGAGGGAUCUGAGGUGGGUCUCAAAGGAUGUGGAGAGGUGAAGAGA